rnacentral:rRNA from 1 species
CGACGGGGGGUGCUAGCGUUGUUCGGAAUUACUGGGCGUAAAGGGCGCGUAGGCGGCUCUGCGAGUCGGGCGUGAAAUCCCGGGGCUCAACCCCGGAACGGCGCUCGAUACUGCGGGGCUGGAGACCGGAAGAGGAGGGUGGAAUUCCCAGUGUAGAGGUGAAAUUCGUAGAUAUUGGGAGGAACACCGGUGGCGAAAGCGGCUCUCUGGUCCGGUUCUGACGCUGCGGCGCGAAAGCGUGGGGAGCAAACAGGAUUAGAAACCCCAGUAGUCC